CCUACGGGAGGCAGCAGUGAGGAAUAUUGGUCAAUGGACGAGAGUCUGAACCAGCCAAGUAGCGUGAAGGAUGACUGCCCUAUGGGUUGUAAACUUCUUUUAUAUGGGAAUAAAAUGUUCCACGUGUGGGAUUUUGUAUGUACCAUAUGAAUAAGGAUCGGCUAACUCCGUGCCAGCAGCCGCGGUAAUACGGAGGAUCCGAGCGUUAUCCGGAUUUAUUGGGUUUAAAGGGAGCGUAGGUGGAUUGUUAAGUCAGUUGUGAAAGUUUGCGGCUCAACCGUAAAAUUGCAGUUGAAACUGGCAGUCUUGAGUACAGUAGAGGUGGGCGGAAUUCGUGGUGUAGCGGUGAAAUGCUUAGAUAUCACGCAGAACUCCGAUUGCGAAGGCAGUUCACUGGACUGCAACUGACACUGAGGCUCGAAAGUGUGGGUAUCAAACAGGAUUAGAUACCCCAGUAGUC
rnacentral:rRNA from 1 species